GCUGGGCGCGGUGGUGUGUGCCUGUAGUCCCAGCUACUCAGGAGGCUGAGGCAGGAGAAUUGCUUGAACCCAGGAGGCGGAGGUUGCAGUGAGCCAAGAUCACGCUACUGCAUUCCAACCUGGGCAACAGAGCAAGACUCCGUCUCUU
ensembl:misc_RNA Metazoa_SRP Metazoan signal recognition particle RNA